rnacentral:rRNA from 1 species
AGAGUUUGAUCAUGGCUCAGAAUCAACGCUGGCGGCGUGCCUAACACAUGCAAGUCGAACGCGAAAGUCCCGCAAGGGAUCAGUAGAGUGGCAAACGGGUGAGUAACGCGUGGGUGACCUGCCUUCGAGCGGGGGAUAACGUUCCGAAAGGGACGCUAAUACCGCAUAACAUCCUGUCUUUUAAGAGGUGGCGAUCAAAGCCUGGGACCGCAAGGCCAGGCACUCGAAGAGGGGCCCGCGUCCGAUUAGCUAGUUGGUGGGGUAAUGGCUCACCAAGGCUCCGAUCGGUAUCCGGCCUGAGAGGGCGGACGGACACACUGGGACUGAGACACGGCCCAGACUCCUACGGGAGGCAGCAGUGGGGAAUUGUUCGCAAUGGGCGCAAGCCUGACGACGCAACGCCGCGUGGAGGAUGAAGAUCUUCGGGUCGUAAACUCCUUUCGAUCGAGACGAACGACCUCUGGGUUAACAGCCUAGAGGAGUGACGGUACCGAGAGAAGAAGCCCCGGCUAACUCCGUGCCAGCAGCCGCGGUAAUACGGGGGGGGCAAGCGUUGUUCGGAAUUACUGGGCGUAAAGGGCUCGUAGGUGGCCAACUAAGUCAGACGUGAAAUCCCUCGGCUUAACCGGGGAACUGCGUCUGAUACUGGAUGGCUUGAGUUUGGGAGAGGGACGCGGAAUUCCAGGUGUAGCGGUGAAAUGCGUAGAUAUCUGGAGGAACACCGGUGGCGAAGGCGGCGUCCUGGACCAACACUGACACUGAUGAGCGAAAGCCAGGGGAGCAAACGGGAUUAGAUACCCUAGUAGUCC